GCUGGGAGACCGGCGGUUGCCGUGGGGACCGGUCGGGCCCCUCCCUCCUCCGGUCCCCCGCCCCAGGUCCUUCCCCACCGAGACGCGCCGGCGGACCGCGGGCGAGUGCAGCCGGUGACCCGGCGAGAGGCGGCGCCGCUCCCAAGAUGUCGCAGACGGCCAUGUCCGAAACCUACGGUCCGUGACGAGAAGUUAUUACCGAGGCGCGGCCGGGGCUCUCCUCGUCUAUGAUAUCACCAGCCGAGAAACCUACAAUGCGCUUACUAAUUGGUUAACAGAUGCCCGAAUGCUAGCGAGCCAGAACAUUGUGAUCAUCCUUUGUGGAAACAAGAAGGACCUGGAUGCAGAUCGUGAAGUUACCUUCUUAGAAGCCUCCAGAUUUGCUCAAGAAAAUGAGCUGAUGUUUUUGGAAACAAGCGCGCUCACAGGGGAGAAUGUAGAAGAGGCUUUUGUACAGUGUGCAAGAAAAAUACUUAACAAAAUCGAAUCAGGUGAGCUGGACCCAGAAAGAAUGGGCUCAGGUAUUCAGUACGGAGAUGCUGCCUUGAGACAGCUGAGGUCACCGCGGCGCGCACAGGCCCCGAACGCUCAGGAGUGUGGUUGUUAGGAGCCAUGGGAGAACACACAGGUGUUCAUACAGUGGCAUUUGGGACACAAUCGUUGGAACCUGAAGAAUCUGAAGUUUUUUUUACCACCAUCCUUUUCUACUCUGUAUGG
rnacentral:sRNA from 1 species